rnacentral:rRNA from 1 species
GACGAACGCUGGCGGUGUGCUUAACACAUGCAAGUCGAACGGAAAGGCCCAGCUUGCUGGGUACUCGAGUGGCGAACGGGUGAGUAACACGUGGGUUAUCUGCCCUCAACUUUGGGAUAAGCCUGGGCAACUGGGUCUAAUACCGGAUAUGAUCAACUGUCGCAUGGUGGAUGGUGGAAAGCUUUUGCGGUUGCGGAUGGGCCCGAGGCGUAUCAGCUUGUUGGUGGGGUAAUGGCCUACCAAGGCGACGACGGGUAGCCGACCCGAGAGGGUGAUCGGCCACACUGGGACUGAGACACGGCCCAGACUCCUACGGGAGGCAGCAGUGGGGAAUAUUGCACAAUGGGCGCGAGCCUGAUGCAGCGACGCCGCGUGAGGGAUGACGGCCUUCUGGUUGUAAACCUCUUUCACCAGGGACGAAGCGUGAGUGACGGUACCUGGAGAAGAAGCACCGGCCAACUACGUG